CCUGGGGAGUACGGUCGCAAGAUUAAAACUCAAAGGAAUUGACGGGGACCCGCACAAGCGGUGGAUGAUGUGGAUUAAUUCGAUGCAACGCGAAAAACCUUACCUACCCUUGACAUGGAAGGAAUCCUCGAGAGAUUGGGGAGUGCCCGAAAGGGAACCUUCACACAGGUGCUGCAUGGCUGUCGUCAGCUCGUGUCGUGAGAUGUUGGGUUAAGUCCCGCAACGAGCGCAACCCUUGUCAUUAGUUGCUACGAA
rnacentral:rRNA from 1 species